CUUACACAUGCAAGUCGAACGGCAGCGCGGGGCAACCUGGCGGCGAGUGGCGAACGGGUGAGUAAUAUAUCGGAACGUACCCUGGAGUGGGGGAUAACGUAGCGAAAGUUACGCUAAUACCGCAUACGAUCUACGGAUGAAAGUGGGGGAUCGCAAGACCUCAUGCUCGUGGAGCGGCCGAUAUCUGAUUAGCUAGUUGGUAGGGUAAAAGCCUACCAAGGCUUCGAUCAGUAGCUGGUCUGAGAGGACGACCAGCCACACUGGAACUGAGACACGGUCCAGACUCCUACGGGAGGCAGCAGUGGGGAAUUUUGGACAAUGGGCGCAAGCCUGAUCCAGCAAUGCCGCGUGAGGGAAGAAGGCCUUCGGGUUGUAAAGCUCUUUUGUCAGGGAAGAAACGGUGGACUCUAAUACAGAUCACUAAUGACGGUACCUGAAGAAUAAGCACCGGCUAACUACGUGCCAGCAGCCGCGGUAAUACGUAGGGUGCAAGCGUUAAUCGGAAUUACUGGGCGUAAAGCGUGCGCAGGCGGUUUGGUAAGACAGAUGUGAAAUCCCUGGGCUCAACCUAGGAAUUGCAUUUGUGACUGCCCGGCUAGAGUGUGUCAGAGGGGGUAGAAUUCCACGUGUAGCAGUGAAAUGCGUAGAGAUGUGGAGGAAUACCGAUGGCGAAGGCAGCCCCCUGGGAUA
rnacentral:rRNA from 1 species